rnacentral:rRNA from 1 species
UUGCCCAGUACGGCGAGUGAGCGGCAACAGCUCAAAUUUGAAAUCUGGCCCCCAGGGCCCGAGUUGUAAUUUGCAGAGGAUGCUUUUGGCGCGGCGCCUUCCGAGUUCCCUGGAACGGGACGCCAUAGAGGGUGAGAGCCCCGUCUGGUCGGACGCCAAGCCAGUGUAAAGCUCCUUCGACGAGUCGAGUAGUUUGGGAAUGCUGCUCUAAAUGGGAGGUAUAUGUCUUCUAARGCUAAAUAUAGGCCAGAGACCGAUAGCGCACAAGUAGAGUGAUCGAAAGAUGAAAAGCACUUUGAAAAGAGGGUUAAACAGUACGUGAAAUUGUUGAAAGGGAAGCACUUGUGACCAGACUUGGGCCCGGUGAAUCAUCCAGCGUUCUCGCUGGUGCACUUUGCCGGGCUCAGGCCAGCAUCAGUUCGCCGCGGGGGAUAAAAGCUUCGGGAACGUGGCUCCCUCGGGAGUGUUAUAGCCCGUUGCAUAAUACCCUGUGGUGGACUGAGGUUCGCGCUCCGCAAGGAUGCUGGCGUAAUGGUCACC